rnacentral:snRNA from 1 species
AUGCUCACUUUGGCAGCAUAUAUAAAAAAUUAGAAUGAUACAGAGAAAAUUAGCAUUACCCAUGAGAAAGGAUAAUACACAAAUUUGUGAAGUGUUCCAUAUUCUU